AAUAAUAAUAAUUAGGAAUAGUUGAAAAAAAUUAUUUGAAUUUGGACUCAAUGCCCAAAAGAAAAAAAAAAGUGAGAAUUGAAUCUGAUUUUUUAAUAGACCCAAAUGGCCCAAGAGAGAUUUGAUGUGGGCUGGAUCCGAAAAUAAUGACCCAAUAUAGAUGCGUUAUUAAUAUUACUUGAUUGCCCUUAAUGAAACAUGCAAUGUUAGUAAAAGAAAAGACAGGCUUAGGUAAUUAUGAGAUCCUCCUUUAAUAGUAUAAAUUAUAUUGGAACUAAUGAGUAAUGUGAAAAUAAAUUAUGUGAAACUGUGAUGAAUAAUUAUGUCGGUCGACGGUCAGUAAAUAUCUCUAAGUAUAUAUGUCAUAAUUAAUUUAAAUUCAUACUUUUUGUAAAAAACUAGCACAUAUAUAAAUGUAUUACAACAAUAUUAAUUAAUAAAAUGUUAUAUUAAAAUAUAAAAUUUUAAAAAGAAAUACGUAAUUAAUAUUAAACUUCAAGCAAAAUACCAUAUUAUUUCAUAAAAUUAUUUCAAAAUGUAUAUAUGAUCAGCUAGUGCAUUUCAAAGUAAAAGUUACUCUUUUUUUUUAAUUUGAAAAUUAUGAACUAAAUAUUGUUAAAAUCGGAUAAUAUUAAUAUUUGCACAUACAUUAGAUCUGAAAAAGAAAGAAAAAGAAGAAAAUAAAAUAUUUCUAAAAGACUUAACUUCUAUCGAUGAUAUUAAUACUGGUUAAUACAUUCGAUCUGAACAAGAAAAAAAUGUACGAAAAAACAACAUCCACAACCUUUUUUUUUUGUUACACAAAAUUUGUUUGGACAAUAUUUUGGAGAUUUUGGAGGUUACAAAUCAAAUUUACCUGACUAUUGGUGUUGUUGUAAUAUUUAAAUUUGUGUGAUAUUUAUGUUUUCAUAUAUUUUCUUAAAAGUUUUUUUUGUUAAGUUUCGUUUGUUUAUUGUUGUUUUCUAAAUCUAGUCUAAAAAUAUUUUUAAAUUUUAUUUUAAAGUUUUUUUAAAAUUUUAUGUAUAAAACUUAAAUUUAUAUAAAAGUUAAAAUAUUUAUGAGAUAUAAAUUUUUGUAAGGAUUAAAACGAUAAAUGAAAAAAUAUUUUAGAAUUAUAAAUGUGAUGUGUAAUUGUAAGGAUCAAAAUGCAAACAUCAAAUUUAAAGUUUUUAGUAAUGAAACUUCAAAUAUAGAAUUUCACUUUUCAAGACUUCAAAUUUAAAAUUUUGAAAUUCAUUUUUAGAGAGCAAAAAACUUCAUAUUUGGAGUUAGUGUCUUUUGGAGAUAAUCUUAGUCGUCUUCAUAUUUCUAUUUUUACCUUUUUCUAUUUUACCUUUUUUUACUUAACAAUUUUUUAUUAAAACAAAGGAAAAUAUUAUAUAUUUUUUAAAUUAAUUUAAGGGCAAUUCUCUCAAAUAGUCAUUUUUAAGUUUUUUUCAUAAAAAUAGAUCUCAAAAAAUAUAAUGACCAAAAUUGUCUCUUUUUAUUUUGAAAAUUUUAAUUUUUUUUUUAAAAAAAAAUUUGAAUUCACUCUCAAAAUCCAACCCCUUAACUCUAAACCCUAAGUAUUAGAUUAAUUAACCCUAAGGGUAUAAAUACAUAUUUACCUUUCAAUAAAUCUUUUUUUUGUUCAUUUUCUUCCUUGAAAGUCUAUUUUGUGAAAAUAAACUAAAAAUGGUUAUCUAAGAGAAUAUCUUAAUUUAAUUUAGAUUAAUUUAAAGGUAUAAUUGUAUUAACAAAGAUUAAAAUCUUAAUGGGACAAUAAAUUUACAUAAAGUCUUAAAGAGACAAACCCAACUUUUGAGUAUCCCAUUUUUCUAGUUUUAAAGUCUUAAAGUCUCUGAGGAUAUUAAUGGGGUAUUAAUGGGGUAUCGAGACCUAAUGGGGUUUCUGAGGAUAUUAAUGGGGUAUCGAGACCUCGGCAGAUUUGCAUGUAAUUUUUUAUAUUUUAAAUAAAAAGUAGGGGACUAACGUCUCCUGCAGCUUACAAAAAAAAAAACUUUUGAGUAUCCCAUUUUUCUAGUUUUCUCAUUUUAUUACGAAGAGAUUAGGAUCCAAUCUACUAAAUAAUUCAUUACUAUCCGUUACUUUUCAUGAACUGCCAUUAUUUCAAAUAAUCUAUUUCUUAACAACUUUUUAGAUAAUCUCAAACUCCCAAAAACUUAUAUUUCGGAUCAUAGUCCAUCUAGUUAGUUGAUUAGUUUGACCUUGUUGGUUAGAGACCUUUCUAACAAUAAGCAGCAUUUAAAGAUAAAUUGAAAGUGUGAUAAAACUGAAACGGAUUAAAAGAUAUUAUUUCUACAAGACUCUCAACGAAGAAAUCUUAUAUAUAUAAAGUAGACGUGUGCUCUGCUCACAGCUUUCCACAUCACCAAAGAGGAUGGGGCGUUUUUAAACACUUGGCGGCUUGGUAGUGUAUCGGUGUUCCUCACGCUCUUUCUUCCUUCUCGCGCGUCAUGAUGCUUCCGUCUGCUUUUAUUACUUUGGCUGGACUGGGUUUUUAAUCAUCUCAAGGUUUAGGCUUUUAUAAAACUAAUUGUCAAACCCAGUCUCAUAUCUCAGUGGGGCUUUUAGAAAAAUUAUGGUCAAACCCAAUGAAGAAUUUUAGGUUUUUUCUUCAUCGUCUCACGUUCCUCCUUUGACCGAUUUACCAGAAAACUAAAACUAAAACUUACCAGAAAACUAAAGCUCCUCUUCAUCCUUAAAUUUAGGUUGAUAUUGUAGACUGCAUCUUCUUGGGUUGGGUCAGAGUUUAGGCGUCGUUCGCUUGACGUCGAUAGUCUCUGCUCGUCUUGGUUUUAAAGUUUUUUUUCGUGAUCUAACUUUUUUGUUCUCUUUCAUAGCUUGAGUACGGCUCUACUCUUUGCUAAUUUCAUUUUGUUUUCCUUUCCCUCGCUGUUCUCUCAUCUCGUUGCAGUUUUCAUUGCUGCCGCGUCUCUAGUAGCUCUCAUUUCUGCCAUGUUUGCCACUCUAAGUUUGGAUAGUGUUUUCCUCUAUGUAUGCAGACUAGGCUUGGAAGGUUGUUUAUGGUAUCAAGCUUGAGCUCAGGUUUCUCAGUGGUUGGCUUCCAUUCUCACUCCCUCAGGUUGUUUCUUUUCUUUCCAUGUUUCCCUUGGUAUAGGUGUACGGAGUUAGUUUAUGGAGCUUUGGUCCUUUUUAUCCAGAGUUUUGUGGUUCUUCGCUGGCAUGGACGUCUUGUUUUAGUUUGUGAGGUGCUUCUUACCUCUUCGCUGGUGGCUGGCCUUUCGGGGUUUUAGGCAUGUGCCUUUCAACUUCGUACUCACUUUGGUGUUUUGGUUAUUUUUUUUCUUCUGACUCGCUUUCUUGGUUCUUUGCGUUGGUACUAUAUCACACACAUUUGUGUUCAGAGGAUUGCUUUGUCUCAGAUUUUAUCUUUUUGCUUUUUUCUGACUUCUAAUUAUUUUAGCUAAAACACUCUAUGGUAAGAUGAGGUAAUUUAGUCUUCAUUCUUAAUCUCUUUUCAGCUUCAGACCUUUAUUGAGUUAGUAUUAUUAUGAAAUUUUGCAUUUUUUUUUGUGGUUCUGGAGGUUUUAGGUUUAGACCAUAUGUUGUGCUCUAGUUUCUUCUUCUUAGUGUAGUUAUUUUAUGAUUUUUAAUAGUAAAAUAAAUAUUUAAUUUAUAAAUUAAAAAAAUAGAAAAUAGUAAAAAAUAAUAAAUAGUGAAAGUUAAUAUUAUUUUCAGUUGUUCAUAAGUUAAAUAUUUAAAAUUAUUAAUAUUAUUUUAGUUAUUUUUUUCAUCUUGAAUUUUACUGACCAAUAAAAUAAUUAUCAAAUUUCAUAUAAUGAUUCUUUGUGUGAGAACGAUUAGAUAACUAAAAUUCUCAGAAAUUCUAUUAGAUUCGAAAAUUUUGCCUUCUUUUGUUAUUUGUUUAUUUAUUCUAAUUUUCUAAGUUUUUGCAUUAUUCAAGUUCCAUCGGUAAUUUUUUUCAUAUAACAAAUAUGUGAAUUUUGAUAAAAAAAUAAAAGAGGACACGUGGCAGCAAACCUCCUUGCCACUUGUCAGAAGAAUGGAAAAUGUCUAGUUUAUAUAUAUAGAGGUAAUUUUUUAAUAUAACAAACAUGUGAAUUUUGAUGAAAAAAUAAAAGAGAACAUGUGGCAGCAAACCCCCAUGCCACUUUUCAGAAGAAGGAAAAAUGUGUACUUUAUAUAUAUAGAUCGGGUUUAUAUUAUUUUUUUGUCAGCAGUUGGAUUUAUAUUUAUAUGAAAAUAAUCUACUUAUAAUACAUUAAUAGAUUGUUUUAUAUUUUAUUUAUAUAUUAUAUAAAUUGAUUUUGUGUGGUUUUUUACCUUUUCAUUUAUUUUAAAUAAAUAAUGAUAAUUUUUAAUGUCUUAAAGUUUAAAAAAUUAUGUAAUAAAUUUUGUAAAUGAAUAAAAUAAUUCCAAAUAUCAUUAAAUUAUAAAAAUUAAUGUUAUAUAUGAUCUAGUGCAUAGAAUUUUGAGGAAGAAGAGUUACGUUGAUGGAUCUUUGCAAAGAGAACCCAUUUAUGUAUAAUAUUGAUGUGCAUUAACGUGUUUUAUUGCAUUAAUAGAACCCUUAUAAUUUUUAAUGUAUUUACAGACCCAUUUAAGUUUAAGAAAAGGACAAAAAUCAAUAUUGGCAAGGAAGAAGAAUUAUGUGGGGGAGGUCUGGUCAUCAAAGAGACAAAUGAUGAUAUAUUAUAUUUUGUGUUUAUACUGAUGUAUAUUAAAAUUUAUAAUUUUAUGUGCAAUGCGUAAGUAAAAUAAUUAUAUUGAAAUCUUUGUUCAAUUUAUUUAGGAAGCUGUGAGUUAGAGAUUUAUAUUGAUUUUUUUAUGCAUUCAAUUUAGGAAAUUAUGUAUUUAAUUUGAAAGAAAACAAUUAAUACAAAAAUAAGGAGAAGUUAUUACUUCAGUGAUAUUUAAGUGUAAUUAAAUUGAAAUUUUAAGGGUUAAUCUAUAUUUGUACUUCGGUUUUAAUAUAUUAGAUUUGUAUUUCAAUUUUAAUAUAUUAGAUUUACAAUUGCCUGAAACUGCGAUGAAUAUUAUAAAUGAUGACAUCAGACAAAACAUAAUUUCAAUGUACUUGUUACAUCCAAUUGGACCAUUCCCAUAGAAAAUUAUAAAACCUAAAAAAGGAAAAGUGUUGUCGUUUAUGGGUCACAACAUACCCAAAAAUAAAAAGAAGUGAUCACGAUCUCUAAAAUUCAUGUUAAUAAAGGAUGAUCAUCUUGAUUAAUUAGAGAGAGAGUGAGAUUAAUAAAAUAAAAAUUGAAUGGGUGAAAUAAAGAAGAGACAUGCUUAAUUGAUGAUGAUGCAGCUUGGCAUUAACUCGGUGUAGAUUACUAACAUUGUCUCCCUAAUGCUCCUUUUGUUUUUGUAUUUUUCUUGGGGCACUUUCGUUUGAAAAAGAUUGUUUUAUUCUUAUUAUCCUUUUGCGUUUUAAAUAAGGUUAUGACCCUUCACUAAUAUUGUAAGCCCUUGUGAAUAUUUUAGACCCACAAAAUCCAAAAUUUUGUUCCUCUUGAUUCAGUGACAAAUUGAAUCGAAGUUAUGACCCCAAUGUAGGGUUAUGUAUGUUUCCAUUAUAUAAAUACGACUUUACAGUGCACACAUAUAAUUUAAUAUCUCAUAAUCUCACAUAAAUGAAUUUACUAUAACCGUUUAACAAAUGUCCGUCGCUCUACAUGCUCCAAGUAUUAAUGUUCGAUUUGCCUCACUAGUACCCUACGAUUAUAAAACAAGUAAAAACAAACGACUUAGAUAUCAUAUAUGUAUUAUCUGGUAGUCAAAUAUUAACAAAGGAAGAGAGACGGUAAAAAGAGUCACCGAAAAAGCGACUCUCUCUAUAAGUGUGAGACUGAGCAUAAUCCCUAGAAAUAGCAAUUAAGAUCUAGCUGUUGGUACUUCCUUGAUUCACACAUUAUAUAUGUGCUUCUAAAUCUAUAUUUGUUGCAACCCUAUUCUGUUAGAAUUGUGUAAUCUCUUGCGGUCUGUAGAUUGACCACAAAUUAUUCAAAUAGAUCUCCCAAAACAAAAUUCAUCAACAGAAAAGACAAAGUUUAUUCAAUUUUGUUUGUAUAGGUAUAUUAAUCAUUGUCCAAAAAAGAGGGUAAAUUGAAGUUGACUUGUAUAUCGUAGAUUGAACCUAUAGACGUUGGACAAGCAUGAAACUCGUCGAUCCAUAUUUGUCGAUGUUAAAAAUGUUUAGAUAAACCAUAUUUUUAUAUAAUACUAUAAGAUUAUCUUAUGCCUAAUGGAAUAUUUUCAAAAGAGCUGAGAAUACAUGGAAUGGACUUUUGGGGUGAUUAAAGAAAUGGGGCCAUGAUUAUCGUAAGUGCGGAGGUAAUGAAUUACGCAUUAAGCAACUAAAAGAAAGUUAAAGAGGAGUUAACUAAAUCGAUACUUCAAAUUAAAAAAAAGGUUCAUUGAAAAUGCCCUUUGCGUUGUUUUAGGUUUUGGGAUUACAGAGGGAUAAGCUCCAAAGAUUAUAGAUCCAAAUUUGAGCUGUAAUUAGGAGGUUCACACGUCUAUUAUCAUAGCAAACUACAUCAAAACUCAUAACGGAUUUGGUACCUAUGGUUGUGCUUAAUCAAGAACCAAAAUUAGGUACAUUUAAAAAUUAAAGAUUCCAUAAAAACAAUGCAAUUCCAAUAUUUGGGGCGUGGAAUGAGUAUGUAUUAGCAUCAGUAUCUUGUGUGUUCCUAAAGAUCAAUCAUACUAAUCUUUGGGAAUCGCAUUCUACAUUACAUAGUCUUACAUUUAUAUUGGUUAAACAUUCAUAACCGUAUAGUAGAAGCGUCGUAUUUCUUUUAAUAUACUGUAUGGUGGAAUGAUUAAAAGAUAACAAAUUAACUCAGCUACAAACACUAAUUUUAAAUUUACAGAGUCGUAGGAUUGAUAAAUCAAACCAAAGUAGAGAUAUUAUUUGAUGAUCGCUGGAUUGACCAAUGAACAAGUGCAUACAUAACUCCUCAGUCUACACAAUACAUAUUUGAAGUGAUCCCUCACUACUAAAACUUUUGGUACAAUAUCUUGAUAAUCUGUUGAGUUUAUCAGAAGGUUAUGUAUAUUAAAUUCACAAUAAAUUUCAAUGAUGUUAGAUUCGGGUUUAUUAUGGGCUUCCAACUUAAAACCAAUUGAUGGUUAGUGGAUUGAUCAUAACCCUUUAUAUAUUACUUAAUAUCUCUUACAAUUUCCGAUGUGGGAUAUAUAUCCAUAAUAUCCUCUUUGAGAUGAUGGCUCUUAUCAUCCAGAAAUCUCAGAACUUUAGGACAUUUAUACUCGGUCGAACGACUUUAACAGAACUUUUAUACCCGGUUGGAAGGGUUAAUCACGAUCUUUAUACCCUAUCAGAAGGGUUAGUUUUAAUUUUAAUUAGGAAUUUAGGGUAUUUAGGAUAUGGACUCUCAUACCAUGAUAGAUUUGGGUUUAUUAUGGAAUUCCAACUUACCAAUUGGUGAUUAGUGGAUUGACCCUAACCCUUUAUAUAUUAUUUAAUGUAUUUUCGAAUUCUCGAUGUGGGAUAUAUAUUCCUAAUAAAUAAUUUUUUUCAAUGAAUAAAUAUCGGGCCCAUAAAUAUCACAUUCAAAAGGUUAGGUGUAGAUGCUAUUUCUACAUCUCAAAUCUAAGGUUCUUUUUGUUACAUAAAUAAAAAGAUAAGUACUACCGCAGACUAAAAGAAGACAAGCGAAGCACGACUUCGGAUAUCCAUAAUCCAAUUAGGAUACAUAUAUACAAUUAGUUUUGUAGUAAUUGUGACGAAAACAUUGUAGUUCUAUCGCCUCCUUAAGCAUAAAGCAAAACUAAAACAACGAUAUAAAUGUACCUAUAUAGGACCCUAGCCAAUUCUCUUCGACCUCUAAAGCAAAGUGUGCCGCCUUCUUUCUUUCUUACAUCAAAUUCUAAUAAUUUAUAGGAAAAUGUAGUUAAGAAUGAAUAUUAGUAAUGUUCAUAUCGCGACUAGAGAUGCAAAUAAGAUCAAUCAUUUAAAAAAGUUUUGCCCCACAAGCUUCCAAUGAUGAAAUGAUUAUGUGGAAGACAUAGGAAGGUUUUCACUUUUCACCAACUACUCUUCAUUAUUCCCCCACAUAAUGUCUAAUAUUAGUGGCAUCAUCAAUUCUAACUUUUGUGUUUUCUUUUCCUUGUAUCUUCUUAUUUUACAUGAUUAAGAAAUCUGGGAUUUGAUUAAUUAUAAACAAAAAAUACAACCUUGAACCUACAGCUUGAACCUACAGUUUUAUCAUUUAUCAAGUCGUGGUCCAUGAAUGUGUACUGGAAAAGAAUGAUCGAUUUUUUUUUCGGAAAUAUAAUUUAAUAACUAUAAUAAGGAUUUGUUCCAAAAAAACUAUAAUAAGGUGUCACAAACAAUCUUUUACGUGUUAUUUUUCCUUUUGACAUUUUGGCGUCCCGUAAAAUAUAAAUAGCAGUUGGUGAAAUAAUAUUUUGUCUAGCUUGGGCUUUGGAAGUGCAUGUAUUUCCGUAAUAUACGCCUCGUUUUGUUCGUUCUUUCCGUUACAUUACGUUACGGGUUUCAUUUCAGUUCUCUGGCUGAGUGCAAAACUGCAAAUGAAUUCUUUUAAAAGAAUAUUUGAGUAUCAAAACUAAACUAGAAAGCACAGAUUAACUAGGAACUGCAUCAGUCCAAUAAACGAGACUAUAUGCUUGAAGGAUUACUCACAAAAUGGUUUGAAUUGGGAACAAUAACAAUGGUCUCGUCUAUAUACAGUCACGCCCUUCACAGACUUGUAAUUAAAAUAACGUAUUAUUAUGGUUUUAGGAGUAUAUACUCUAAGUCAUGUCCACGUUUUCUACUAUAUAUGGUUUUGAUUUGAAUGAGAAAAUAGCUGCUAUUUUGACCCUGGUGGCAUGGUGCAGACGAGAAUCCUACUUUGGUGACAACACAGCUUAAAUUUAUAACCCUGCCAGCUAACAUAUAUUCUUUAAAGCUACUUCAGAUAUCAGACAUCAUUUUGGUUUGAUCAUUACAAAUACUAUAUUCAUAUUACCACUUUUAAUGUUUACGCAAACGAUUUUUAUCCUCAUUUUUAACGAAAGGUAAAAUAUAUUUAUUUUUUUAGGAUUAAUUAAUCUAGACUUAAAGUUGAAAGUUGAGGGGUGGGGUAAAGCCUUUACAAUGUAAAAUUUAUGAUUCUAAUAAAUAUAUAAAUAAAUACUUAAAAAUAUAAAAUUUUUAAAAAAUAGUUUCAAACAGAAUUUUUGAUUUUCAAAAAGAAAUUUUGAAAAAAAGAAAAAAACAACUAAAAAAAAAUUCAAAAAAGAAAUUCAAAAAUAUAUUUAUAAUUCGAAAACAUAAAAAAAUAUUUUUUUUAAUAUUUUAUUUAAUUUGUUAUAUAUAUAUAUAUAACAAGAGUAUAAAAAUCUUUGCCCCUUAAUGAAGAAAAUAUUUUUGAAAAUAUCAUUUCAAUGGUGGUAAAGAUGAAUGGUACCAUAAAAAGUGGUAAACCUGAAAUUCACCCAAAUGUUUAACUUGCCUUCUUCUUCUUCUUCUCCAAUUUGAGAUUUUGAUCCAAUCUGUAGCCUAAGGAGAAAUGAAACGGGGAAACUGCGACAAAUCAAAGAAGGUGGUCCAUGGCUGAUUUACAGCUAAAGAAAAGAGGAUACAUCUGGGAAAUCUCUGUUGGGUUCAAUGCAGCUCUUGCUGCCAUCUCUGCGAAGUUUUUCUCACUAUCGUAAUGAAAAUCUUAACUACUAAAUAUAUCCCAUUUUCAUAUGUGUAACCUUUUUUUUCAUGGGUUUGCUUUUGCGUGCAAGUAUAAAGAAAAACUUCUUGUUAUCAGAUGAAUUAAGUUGUUUGAAGUCUUAGAGCUUUUUCUGUUAAAGACCAACUUAAAAGAUUUUCCUGAUUUUGUUGCAGUUAGAUACUACUGUAAUCAAUGUCAAAGAUGCAACAACCUAAUUACUGCACGGGUCUUUUUCUGCUUUUCAUUCAAAUCAACAUGCAGUGGCAAGAAACUAAUUCAUAAACUACUACAAUUUGUGCCACCAAAAAUGUCUGAAACUUUCUAACCACAAACUAUGCGGUUGGAUUAAAGAACCAGCUAUGUCGUGGGGUUACUUACAUAUUUUUCCAUUAAAAAUAUGACAAUUCUGUUUCAUAUGUAAAAAGACCCCGUUGUUUUUGAGACAGCAUGCAUGUAUACCCAGUGCCGAGUCCGGUGGUGCCUAAAGCACAUUCAAAAAAUGUUUCCCCUUAAUUAUAAAUUUUUUUUUUACAUUUUUAACAUUAUUAAAUUUUUUUUUUUUAAAAGUACAUAAAUAUCAAUAAUUGUUUUUCAAAUUUUUUUCAUAGUUAUUCAAAAGUUUUGAAUAACCAAGUGUUUUAACUAGUUCAUGUUCUAUUAAUAUUAUAGACAAUACAUUUAAUAACUUAUGAAACAUAUCCCAACAUAAAUAAUUUUGUUGAACUUUAGUUUUUUUUUUUAAAAGUAAACAUUAAAACGAGAGAUAUAACAAUUCUAGCAACAGCCAGUGAACAAUAGAAAACAUAGAUAAUUAAAAAUGGUCAAUUUUGAAUUAGUAGAAUACAAUAAAUAAUUGGAGAGCGUAGACUAAAUUUUUAUAUAUUUACUCUCUAUAUUUAUUGUUCUAUAUACUUAAAGCAGUAGCACUAUCAAUGCCUAUUUUCUCAAUGAACAUAUUUCGACUGCCAAAGGAAGUCUGUAAUGAGAUAAAUGCUGUGCUAGCUCACUUCUGGUGGGGCUCGGGGGAUAAGAAAGGGCUACACUGGUAUAGCUGGAACAGAAUUUGUAUUCCUAAGCGAGAAGGGGGGCUUGGAUUUAAGGACCUUGCAGCUUUCAAUCAAGCCUUAUUGGCUAAACAAGUAUGGAGAAUCAUGCAAAACCCGAAUUGUCUUAUGGCGAGAGUACUUCAAGCAAGAUACUUCCCAGAAGGUAAUAUCCUUGAUGCUAAGCUGAAAAAGAAAGCGUCUUACGCUUGGAAGUCUAUAUUACAUGGUAAGGACUUUAUUAUUAAAGGGAUGAGAUAUAUUAUUGGAGAUGGAUCCCAUACAGAUAUGUGGAAGGAUUCAUGGUUACCGUUGCAUCCUCCUAGACCACCAAGAUCGAGAGAAGUAGUUUGUGAUAACAUCAAAGUACAGAGUUAUAUGAAGGAAGGGAGCCAGGAAUGGAACUUAGAGAUACUCAGAUCUAAAGCGCAUCAAGAUCUGUAUGGAUGGCAUUACAAUGAGGAUAGGAUUUAUACAGUCAAGUCGGGGUAUUGGCUCGCAACACAUCUCCCGAACCAAAAUUGCAUUCCACCAACAUAUGGAAAUGUGAAUUUAAAGCAAAAGGUAUGAAAGACUAAGACUCCAUCGAAGGUGCAACAUUUCCUUUGGAAAUUGCUAUCUCGAAGCUUAGCUACUGGAAAUAAUCUGAGAAGGAGACAUAUUACAAAUGAUACAAUAUGUAAAAGAUGUUACUUGGAGGAAGAAACAGAAGAACAUCUAUUCUUCACCUGUCCAUAUGCGAAACAAAUUUGGAGAGCAUCUGGUGUAGCAAAUCCUGUUUUUGAUGAUCCAAAUGAAUUGCUUGAUACAAAAGUAAAAGCGUGUAUGGAGUUUGCUUCUUCAUCAAGGUUAGUGCACUUCCAAAACCUUCCUAUAUGGUUAUUAUGGGAUAUAUGGAAGAGUAGGAAUAAGCUUAUAUUCCAAAAGAAAAAUAUGCAUUGGAAAACCGUGUUGAGAUAUGCGAAAGAUGAUGCCCAAGAAUGGAAAGGGAUUGAUUUGAAUGAUGGAAGGGGUCGUGCAACAACUAUCAGACAGAAUCAGGAAUGCGAGGAAAUAAGAAGAUGGAGUUUGCCAACAAAUGGGAGGAUUAAGUGUAAUGUAGAUGGUUCAUUCCGAAAUGAGAACACAGAGGCUACUGAAGGUUGGUUAUAUCGUGAUGAAGAAGGUCUGUAUAAGGGAGCAGUACAGGCACGAGGUACGAAGGUCGGUACAGCAUUGGAAGGAGAACUACAGGCUAUACUUAUGGCUAUUCAACACUGUUGGACUCAAGGGUUUCGUAAGAUUAUUAUAGAGAGUGACUGCAGAAAAGCUAUUGACAUCAUCAAUAAGAAGACUCUACAUUUUAAUGUUUAUAAUUGGACAAGAGAGAUAAGAUGGUGGGAGCAGAAGUUUGAAGAUAUCACAUUUCAGUGGAUCAAAAGGGAAGGCAAUAAACCGGCUGAUCGAUUAGCAAAAACUAUCUUACCCAACAUGAACUCAUUCAAUUUUCAUUACUAUGUACCAAAAGGGAUUACUAAUCUCCUACAUGAAGACUAUGUACUAUCACAUUUAGUAUAAAUAAAAUUGCUGUUAUAAAAAAAA